UAUACCGUGCAGACCUCCUGCCUCAAAGCUUUGGUUUCUGGAAGACGGACUUAGACUCAUCCUGGUCGAAAGCUACUGGGAAGAUCACAGAUGUCCUCCCCGACCUGGUAACCUCAGCUGCUGCUACCUAUAUGGGAAGACAAGUCAUGAAGACUCGUUUGAUGUCCCUUCGGCUAAAAGAAUAAGCAGCCCAGCUAAAGAUGGUGAAUCUGUUGGACGGAGAACUGAUAAGGGCAUGUGGCUGACACAUACAACAUUGUGUCCGCUGGGCACUCAGGUACUGCUGAAGCUGCAUAAUUUUCUCAUUUCAUGUCAUAUCUAUACAUACAGCAAUUAUGAGCUUUAUAUAUCAAAAUAUGGUCUCAAUGAGAAUUUUAAUUAUGUAUUUAUUAAUUUGACCAUAAGUUAAAU